UUCUCACCACCCAUAUGGAAACUGGAGGCAGUAAGACAGAAACGACGCUAGCACUCGGCAUCAUGCUGCGGCUGCCAGAUACCGAGUCCUUCUCGGGCACGCUGGCAUCUCCUCUCCAAACUCCCUAUUUAUAAAUGAACGGGCGACAGACACCUGAGUGUACCGUGGCUUUCCAGGAGGUAUUCUGCAGCCUCUCAGGGGAAUGCACCAUCUCCUUUAGCUUACGGCUGGGGCAAAGAAUGAGUUACUCAGACCUAAACUUAAAUCUGUUUCUGCAAAGAUGGAUUUGUGGCUUGUGCCAGCUUCCCCUAGACGAGUGCAGCCUCAUUUUAUUCCUCAUGAACUUCUGUCGAGGUGUAAAAUAACCACAAUCUGGAGAGCUAAAAUCACUGAAGGAUGAAUUGUAUUAUAAUGUAAUCGAUCCGAAAGACCAUCCAUCUGCAAUGAGGAGCAUCGCACCAUCCUGGCAGCGGCAGUGCAGGAUUACGUGACUAUGUCCGUGGCGUUGUCCUGACUGGGAAACAGGACUUCUUGAGCAGAGAGAUUAUGUUAUUGCUCAAUGCACGAAUUCAUUGAGUGCCUUGGUAUCACACCUCCUCUACCACAACUCACUCUGUAAAGAGCUGGAUAAACCAAGAACAAAAAGGACACCAGUGACAGUGAAUAUUUUGAGGUCCACAGUGUAUUCCUGGGGAGGGGCUGCUCCAGACCUGCCAGUGCCGCGAGGACUUAAAAUCACAACUCAAGAAGCAAAGCGUCUGGCUGCUGACAGUCCAUGACUUCAACCAUCCAUACGGAGCAGAAAGGAAGCAUGGGAAUGGGGAUGCAGGCAGAGCAAAGCUACAUUUUCUUAAGAAACCAUACAAAAAAGACACUUCCUUUCUGGAGAAGACCUAGGGUUGCCCUCUGCUCCGUGCUCAGGCAGCACAGGAGUCUCGGCUUUUUUCAGCUGGUCCUAUUAGGAAAAAUGACCCUUGAGGACCCUGACCUUCAUCCACUGCUGCAUAAGGUGGAACGUGGGAGGAGGCUCGGGCAUGAAUGCAUCGCACGGGGCAGCCUGCACGCCCAGUGCUGAGGACCUUCAUUUAAAGGGAUUUUUGACAAUCCACUUCGGGCAGCUUCCAGCGCAGAUAGAGAGAGACCUUAAUCUCGCCGAGGACAACUGCUGUUUGGGACAACACGGCAGCUCGUGCGUACAGGGGGAGCGUUCACCCGCUGGUUUACAUUUGCAAAACCCGUUUGGGGGCUCAGAGUGAGCCGUGGUGAGCGUGAACCGGCGGGGCUGUGCUGAUGCUGAUGCUUGGAGACCUUUUCUUUUUUUUUGAUAGAUCUAAGGGCAGAUCUUUAAAGGUACAAAUGCCGAGCCAGUACCAACACCCAGGGAAGUCCGUGGCCGGGGGCGCGUACACCACGAGCGGGCUGUCAGCCCCUCCGCCUCGUCACCCCCAGCCCCGAGUGGCACCAGGAAGUGAUGGCCGAGGAGGCAAAAAGCCCAUUUUCGCGCUGGCCUGAGGGGAGAGGCUUAGGUGGGUGAGCACGGCCCCAGCUCAUUAAUCUGCACUUAAACAGGGAGCAGCAGUUCCCCGUCCGUUCCCGGGCGCAUCGUGCAAGCAGAGGUGACGCUGCGCAAGGCUGGUGGGUCACUCCUUGACGCAAAGCCGUGGGGUUACUGGCGGCAAGGUUCCCCUGCAAACCCUGCUAAGGCAACAGGGCUCGCCAAAGCCGCCAGGAAUUUCGGAAAGGUUUGGGGUCAUUUGGGUUAGCCUGGCUUAACAAACUCCCACCUUUCCGAGGAGGCGGACGGAAGGUGUCGAGCCGAGGUUUCCCUCUUCCCGUCCCUCUCGUCGCCGGCGAACGGCCCGGCACCAGGCCCG
rnacentral:lncRNA from 1 species